rnacentral:rRNA from 1 species
GACGAACGCUGGCGGCGUGCCUAAUACAUGCAAGUAGAACGCUGAAGGAGGAGCUUGCUUCUCCGGAUGAGUUGCGAACGGGUGAGUAACGCGUAGGUAACCUGCCUGGUAGCGGGGGAUAACUAUUGGAAACGAUAGCUAAUACCGCAUAACAGUAGAUGUUGCAUGACAUUUGCUUAAAAGGUGCAAUUGCAUCACUACCAGAUGGACCUGCGUUGUAUUAGCUAGUUGGUGGGGUAACGGCUCACCAAGGCGACGAUACAUAGCCGACCUGAGAGGGUGAUCGGCCACACUGGGACUGAGACACGGCCCAGACUCCUACGGGAGGCAGCAGUAGGGAAUCUUCGGCAAUGGACGGAAGUCUGACCGAGCAACGCCGCGUGAGUGAAGAAGGUUUUCGGAUCGUAAAGCUCUGUUGUAAGAGAAGAACGAGUGUGAGAGUGGAAAGUCACAC